UUUAAAUGUAAAAUAAAUAUACUAAAGUAGUAUUAGUUAUGUUCUUGAAAUUUAAAGAUUUUGGCGGUAUUUUAGUCUAUUUAGAGGAGCCUGUUCUAUGAUUGAUAAUCCACGAUUAAUUUUACUUAAUUUAGAUAAAUUUGUAUACCGUCGUUAUAAGAAGAUUUUAAAAGAAUAUAAAUUUUUAAUAUUUUGUAUAAAAAAAUAUAUCAGAUCAAGGUGCAGUUUAUAAUUAAGAAGAAAUGGGCUACAAUAAAUUUAUUUAUAUGGAUUAGAGUAGGAAUGUGACUUUAUGAAGGUGGAUUUAAUAGUAAUAAGAUUAAUUUAAAUUUUAUGAUUUUAGCUCUAAAAUAUG
rnacentral:rRNA from 1 species